GGGGGCGACACGGUUUCGACGGGGAUACGGAAGCUUAGGCUGCAUACCGAGCUCCUAUCGCUCGUAAAAAGGUAGGACUUUAAAAUAAUCGCAGAUGAUUAUGAAUAUGCUUUAGCCGCAUAACAGGCUAACGUCCUUCCAGAUUAUUCCUGCGCAUCUGGAAAGGGCGACGACUAGCAGGAUAGCCUUUUCCGGUUGCUUGUUACGGAUAAGGCGAAACCUUUAACAAGAUAGCCUCUUUUGAAUCCCGCCUGAAGGAGCCAUAAGAGGCGAAUGUCAAAAUUCAGGCUAAGUAUGUAGAUGCCUAUGCGGAGUAUUGCCGGACGCGGGUUCGAUUCCCGCCGCCUCCACCA
rnacentral:tmRNA from 1 species